rnacentral:rRNA from 1 species
AUUGAACGCUGGCGGCAUGCCUUACACAUGCAAGUCGAACGGUAACAGGUCUUCGGAUGCUGACGAGUGGCGAACGGGUGAGUAAUACAUCGGAACGUGCCCGAUCGUGGGGGAUAACGGAGCGAAAGCUUUGCUAAUAACUCAUUCGAACUACGGAUGAAAGCAGGGGACCGCAAGGCCUUUCGCGUGCGGAGCGGCCGAUGGCAGAUUAGGUAGUUGGUGGAAUAAAAGCUUACCAAGCCGACGAGCUGUAGCUGGUCUGAGAGGACGAGCAGCCACACUGGGACUGAGACACGGCCCAGACUCCUACGGGAGGCAGCAGUGGGGAAUUUUGGACAAUGGGCGCAAGCCUGAUCCAGCCAUGCCGCGUGCAGGAUGAAGGCCUUCGGGUUUUAAACUGCUUUUGUACGGAACGAAAAGACUCUUUCUAAUAAAGAGGGUCCAUGACGGUACCGUAAGAAUAAGCACCGGCUAACUACGUGCCAGCAGCCGCCGUAA